rnacentral:rRNA from 1 species
GACGAACGCUGGCGGCGUGCUUAACACAUGCAAGUCGAACGGAAAGGCCAUGCUUUUGUGGGGUGCUCGAGUGGCGAACGGGUGAGUAACACGCGAGUAACCCGCCCUUGACUUUGGGAUAACUUCAGGAAACUGGGGCGAAUAUCGGAUAGGAGCUCCUGCUGCAUGGUGGGGGUUGGUAAGUUUCGGCGGUUGGGGAUGGACUCGCGGGUUAUCAGCUUGCUGGUGGGGUAGUGGCUUACCAAGGCUUAGACGGAUAGCCGGCCUGGGAGGGUGAACGGGCACCUGGCGACUGAGAGACGCCCCAGACGCCAACGGGCGGCAGCAGGGGGGAGUAUUGCGCAAUGGGGGGAAGCCUGAGGCAGCAACGCCGCGUGCGGGAUGACGGCUUUCGGGUUAUAAACCGCUUUCGCCUGUGACGAAGCGUGAGUGACGGUAAUGGGUAAAGAAGCACCGGCUAACUACGUG